rnacentral:rRNA from 1 species
GUGAUUCUGGUUGAUCCUGCCAGUAGUCAUAUGCUUGUCUCAAAGGCUAAGCCAGCAUGUCUAAGUAUAAAUGUUAUACAGUGAAACUGCGAAUGGCUCAUUAAAACAGUUAUAGUUUAUUUGAUAAUCGAAUUUACAUGGAUAACCGUGGUAAUUCAGAGUAAUACAUGCUGGUUAGCCUGACUUUUGAGGAAGGGCUGUAUUUUUAGAUAACAAACCAAUAUUCCUUGUGUCUAUUGUGAUGACUCAUAAUACUGAUCGAAUCGCAUGGACGUUGUCCGCGAUAAAUCAUUCAAGUUUCUGCCCCAUCAGCUUUCGAUGGUAGUGUAUUGGACUACCAUGGCUUUAACGGGUAACGGAGGAUUAGGGUUCGAUUCCGGAGAGGGAGCCUGAGAAACGGCUACCACAUCUAAGGAAGGCAGCAGGCGCGUAAAUUACCCAAUCCUGACUCAGGGAGGUAGUGACAAGAAAUAACGGACCGAAGCCUAUGUUUCGGGAUUGCAAUGAGUUGAAUUUAAACCCCUUUACGAGGAUCAAUUGGAGGGCAAGUCUGGU